AUGUUAUGUUUUCGUUCUUUAUUUUUAACAGAUUUGCGAAAAUUUUCAAAAAUUGUCAUUAUGGGUUUUUGUGUGUAGAACGUUGAGGAAAAUGUCACGGUGUGGUGCACUUCCGGUCUUAUUUUGUAGUUUUCUGCCACUCGUGUCCCUGGGUAACUUCAUUUCCUGCCUGGUCCUGUCAUCCCCUGUGAUUGUCGGACUGUUUCCACCUGUGUCCGAUCACCUGCACCUCCCUUGUGUAUUUAAGUAGUGUGUGUUGUUUGUCACUUGUGGCGUCAUUGUCUCUUGGCACGGAUGUCCCUGUCUAUCGUCUGGAUGGUCCGCUUUCCUGCCUGCCUUUUUUCCCCCAGUUUGUGUGUGUGUUUUUUCCCGUUGGCCUUUUACUUUGUGGGAGUUUUUGACUAUUAAACGCCGAUUUUUAACGAAAAAAUACUUUGAGUCCUGCCUUCCUACCCAACCCUGACAGAAUGACGCCACCAUGGGACUCAGCAGACCCUUCUGGCAGCGGAAAACAAAUUUUUUUUUGGUCCCAGGAGCUAUCAGCUCGCCUGCCUCGAGCUCCGGGACCUCCUUAACCCUAGAAGGAGGAGCAAGCGGAAGAAGCGAUCUCCCGUUCCCGCUGGGCCGCCGCAGCCGUCUCCCUUUGCCGUUCCCCGACUUGCUCCUCCGACGCCGCCAGUACCGGCCCCGAGACUCAUGACCUCGACGCCGCCAGUACCGGCCCAGAGACUCAUGACGCCGCCAGUACCGGCCCAGAGACUCCAGGCCCCGACCCCUCCAGUCCCGGCCCCGAGACUCAUGACUCCGACGCCCCCGGUCCCCGACUCAGGUUCCCUCCCUCCCAUCCCGUGGUCCUCUCCCAGCCCCCGCCGACUGCGGAGGUAUUCGUGUCCCCGAGCCGCCGCCGACUGCGGAGGUGUUCCGCGUCCCCGAGCCGGGCCGACCCUCGGAGGCUCUCCAGCCAAUUCACCGUCCGCCGGGCCGACCCCUUGAGGCUCCCUGGCCGUUUGCCUGUCCGCCGGGCCGACCCCCUGAGGCUCCCCGGCCGUUUGCCUGUCCGCCGGGCCGACCCCCUGAGGCUCCCUUGUCCCCUGUUGUGUAUUUAAGCAGUGUGUGUUGUUUGUCACUUGUGGCGUCUUUGUCUCUCCUGUCUAUCGUCUGGAUGUUCCGCUUUCCUGCCUGCCUUUUCCCCCCCGGUUCGUGUGUGUGUUUUUGCCCGUUGGCCUUACACUUUGUGGGAGUUUUUGACUAUUAAAGUCGUUUUCGUUAAAAGUCUGCGUUUGAGUCCUGCCUUCCUACCCAAGCCUGACAGGAAUAAGGCUGUAACAUAACAAAAUGUGGAAAAAGUGAAGUGCUGUGAAUACUUUCCAGAUGCACUGUAAAUGAGAUGAAGAAAUGUUGUUGGCUUUACCAUGCCUUAUAACUGCUUGGUACAAUUAAGGUAACCAGCAAACUAAAAGUAAAGAGAAGAAAAGUAAUUUUAGCCUGACAUAUACUUGAUUGUUUACAUUUAUCACAACGACAAAUUUGGAAAGACUAACACGGAGAAAACUGAAAUAGAAAUAUGGGAUUGAAUAUGUAUAUUCUGUAUUUUUAAAUGCAAUUGUUCAUAAUAUAAAAAACAUCAUGUAUUUGGCAAAGGAAAAACACAUUUAAUUUCUGUUGUAUUUUUCACUUCCUAAAUCAUGCCUCCGUUCAGUUGGACAGCACACGCAGCUAAAGCAUUUAUUCCGGUAAAAAUGCUUGGUUAUCCACUCGUGGUCUGUUCAUCAUUUCCCUAUUUUUGUCAAUUACUUUGAUUUGGGCCUUUCGCUUGAUGAGGUGCUCUCUUGUCCAAGGAGAUUACAUCUCUGGCUGGUGUUGCCAGUGGCUACACUGGUGUGGUAGCCACUGUGGCAGCGCAGUUAUUCACUGUAACUGGGAGAUAGCAUCUAAAUGUUUGUCAGAUCCAUUGCCCACUGUUAAGGGCUGCCAUAACUUUUAUUCUGUCAGGACUGUCACUUCAGAUGGGGAGCUGCAUCAGCUCACUGUUGUCCCCUGAAGCAAAAUGAGUAUCGGAGGCUGUGUUCUCCACUUCGGAAGCAGCCAAGCCUUCAGCUCAGGACUCUGUAAUGUAUCACGAUUUGUUUAGAAUUAUAGAGAAAGAUUUAUGAUUUGUGACAUAAAAUGCAUGAGUCCCUUGCUCUCUAGUUUACCGGACAGCACACACUUGAGUGUUACAGAAUAAGGGAAAGAAACACUUAAAAGUUACGCUUGAUUCUAAUUGAUGCACGUUCUUUUCAUGUAGAGCGAUAUUGGCUAUUAUUGGAAAAAUGUUGAUACUUUAAUCUGAUACUGAUACCGCAACAAUUUUUUUUUUUCAUACUUUGUGUUAAUGGAAAUUGCAUUUGGCUAAUUAGUGUAUCAAUUGUAUUACUAAAAGUACAGCUCUUUUCUCUCCUUUAUGUUAAAUAGUCAUUCUUAAAGCUGUUUGCUGACCUGAUGCUACUUUGUAAAAUGAGUCCGGUGUGGUCCUCCCUCCACGUGAAUGUAACUACUGUACAUCAAUUCCAGCUAACGUCAUGGAAAACAAUGGUAGGGGCGCUGAGGGGGAAGCGUCAUAGAUGCUGUUUUUGACCCAAUAUUAUGUGGUUUAACACAGCUAAAAACAAAAAAGCACAAAAUCCAACGGGGCUAUUUGUAACCAGUGCAAGGUAUAGAAAAGCACCCAGAGCAAAGCAACGUGUGUCAGCCAGCUGAUAACAAGUGUACUCAAUUAAAAAAGUAGAUAGCCUAUCGGUCUGAAACCGCCUCUUCUUUUUAAAGCCAUGCGAUUUCAAUACAAUUAUAUUUGUUUAUCUGGCUACCACACAUUGAUGGUAACAGAUAUGUACAGACUUGCAAGGACAAAAACUGGGGAUCCGUCUUUAACUUACUUUCCUGUGGUUUUCAGAUCUUGUCUGACUGAAAAACAACCCUAGGAAGUUCAUUACAGUCAAAUGUACUCCCACACAAAUGGUAAUUGGAUUAGGUGCCUCCAUUCAAAAUGCAGACAGGUGUCAGACAAUACCUGAACCAAUAAAGAUCCAACUCAAACAACUUAACGUAUUUAUCUUUUUCCCAUACGCCUCCUUCCAGUCGUCUGUCUUGAUGAAAUUCUUCACUUCCUAUAUCACCACUAAUUUAACAUUGUACUGAAUUCACUUGUAUUGUCGGGGGUUGUCGUGGCGCAGGGGGUAGAGCGGGUGUGCUGGGCAGCGCAAGGUUGGAGUCCUGGCUGCCCCAUGUCUCAAGUCGAAGUGUCCCUGAGCAACACACCUAACCCCUAAUUGCUCCCUGGGCCAAAUGUAAAAAAGCCAUGGGUUUAAAGUGUAAUGUAAGUCACUUUGGAUAAAAGUGUCAGCUUAAUGACCUGUAAUGUAAUUUUGUUUUAAAUCUUGUUAUUUUCUGAACCCUGGAAAAGUGGAGCUUUAAACAGAAGUAGCUAUAUCUUUCCAAUGGCUUGAAUAAGAUGAUAUUAGUUUGAUAUUCUCCUUAUCUAAAUAGUUAAACUGCAUAGUGCCAAAUUCCCGAGUAUCAGUGUAGAAAGUUAGCGAUGAGUCUUUGGACAUGAAGAUGUAAUCUAUGAAAUAUAGACAUCGAGCGACAAUGAGCUACAUUUCAGACAAAUCAUUGCGAACUGUUUUAAUCGUUAAUUCCACGAUAUAAUCAUGCUAUUUUCAGCGAUGAAUUGUGCUGGAUGGCUCAUCCAAUUUGUUGAAAAGACCACUUAGGUAUGGUCGUAUUCCAUGACCGUUUUAUAUUUGUUCAUGGCUUCAAGUGUCUCUAGAAGGGUCAAUAUUCAUUCCUACAACAUCCUGAAACGUUUAUCUUAUAUUUACCACCAGUUGACAACUUUACUGCUUAUUUUUCUUCUGCUCCGAUAGGCCCUCACUUGUCACUUCUCUCUGUCGCUCCACCGUACUGCCAUACCCAUACUUUCCUCUUAUAACACAUGCAUCAAACUGCGUCAACAACAUUUGACAACUUUCGAAACACUUAUUGUAGAACAUAUUGUUGAAUAGAGCAACAUGACCCACACGGAAUUUGCUUUUAGUGUGUUGCUGCGUAACUCAAAGCCUCUGUGGCGUGACAUCUAUAGUCUUUAGACCAGCGGUUCCCAAACUCAAGAAUGCCGCAGCCCAAUUUGAAAUCUGAAAAUCUUUCGCGGCCCACCCAAACCUUUAAUCACAAAUCUGAUCAAAACAUAAUGAUUAAAUGACCUUAAGAAUUUAACCAAAAUCAAACAUCCACGAGCAAAAGUUUGUCUCAUGCGAGGUAUUUGCUCGCUUGCGAAACGUGAACUUCAAUGCUCGCGAGGAGAAUCUCUGCUCGCGCUCGAAGGAGUUUUCUACGCGCUCGCUGUUGUUCUUUCUGACAGGUGGAGACGGUGCUUUCAGGGUCCGAUCGAUGCUGCGGGGUGCGUCCGCUCCCGCCACCCCCCUCGCCAUCCACGCCUUAGAUCUUCGGCUCCUUUUAGAAUAACUUAUUUUCCCCGUUAAGAUGGUUUAGCUACUGUAAAGAAAAGGGCACUGUCUCUCGCUCUUUAAUCUCAUGAAGUGCUCUGCAAGAACGACAGCUUUGUUUCUCCGACGCGCCCUAAAACAAGCUCCAUAUCUCACGCGCUUGAGCGCCUGCUUAGUAUCUCGCCACCAUAGACCGAGCUUUGGCAUGUUGGCAGAGCGCCUUGAACGCCGUGUACAACCAGUAUGGAUCAACCCAUUAACCAAUUGAUCCAUAUAUAUAAGGCGCUCCGGAUUAUAAGGCACUGUCAUUUUUGAAGAAAAUAAAAGCCUUUUAAGUGC
ensembl:lncRNA